GGGUUGUGAGGUUAAGCGACUAAGCGUACACGGUGGAUGCCCUGGCAGUCAGAGGCGAUGAAGGGCGUGCUAAUCUGCGAUAAGCGCCGGUAAGGUGAUAUGAACCGUUAUAACCGGCGAUACCCGAAUGGGGAAACCCAGUGUGAUUCGUCACACUAUCAUUAACUGAAUCCAUAGGUUAAUGAGGCGAACCGGGGGAACUGAAACAUCUAAGUACCCCGAGGAAAAGAAAUCAACCGAGAUUCCCCCAGUAGCGGCGAGCGAACGGGGAGGAGCCCAGAGCCUGAAUCAGCAUGUGUGUUAGUGGAAGCGUCUGGAAAGGCGCGCGAUACAGGGUGACAGCCCCGUACACAAAAGCGCAUGUGCUGUGAGCUCGAUGAGUAGGGCGGGACACGUGGUAUCCUGUCUGAAUAUGGGGGGACCAUCCUCCAAGGCUAAAUACUCCUGACUGACCGAUAGUGAACCAGUACCGUGAGGGAAAGGCGAAAAGAACCCCGGCGAGGGGAGUGAAAAAGAACCUGAAACCGUGUACGUACAAGCAGUGGGAGCACCCUUCGGGGUGUGACUGCGUACCUUUUGUAUAAUGGGUCAGCGACUUAUAUUCUGUAGCAAGGUUAACCGAAUAGGGGAGCCGGAGGGAAACCGAGUCUUAACCGGGCGUUAAGUUGCAGGGUAUAGACCCGAAACCCGGUGAUCUAGCCAUGGGCAGGUUGAAGGUUGGGUAACACUAACUGGAGGACCGAACCGACUAAUGUUGAAAAAUUAGCGGAUGACCUGUGGCUGGGGGUGAAAGGCCAAUCAAACCGGGAGAUAGCUGGUUCUCCCCGAAAGCUAUUUAGGUAGCGCCUCGUGAAUUCAUCUCCGGGGGUAGAGCACUGUUUCGGCUAGGGGGCCAUCCCGGCUUACCAACCCGAUGCAAACUGCGAAUACCGGAGAAUGUUAUCACGGGAGACACACGGCGGGUGCUAACGUCCGUCGUGAAGAGGGAAACAACCCAGACCGCCAGCUAAGGUCCCAAAGUCAUGGUUAAGUGGGAAACGAUGUGGGAAGGCCCAGACAGCCAGGAUGUUGGCUUAGAAGCAGCCAUCAUUUAAAG
rnacentral:rRNA from 1 species